rnacentral:rRNA from 1 species
AUACGGAGGGGGCUAGCGUUGUUCGGAAUUACUGGGCGUAAAGCGCAUGUCGGUGGUGCAAUAAGUUAGAGGUGAAAGGCCUGGGCUCAACCCGGGAACUGCGCUUAUUACUGAUAAACUAGAGUCCGGGAGAGGGUGGCGGAAUUCCCAGUGUAGAGGUGAAAUUCGUAGAUAUUGGGAAGAACACCAGUUGCGAAGGCGGCCACCUGGACCGGUACUGACGCUGAGGUGCGAAAGCGUGGGGAGCAAACAGGAUUAGAAACCCGAGUAGUCC